rnacentral:rRNA from 1 species
GAUGAACGCUGGCGGCGUGCUUAACACAUGCAAGUCGAACGAUGAGGCCCAGCUUGCUGGGUGGUUUAGUGGCCAACGGGUGGGUAACACGUGAGUAACCUGCCCUUAACUCUGGGAUAAGCCUGGGAAACUGGGUCUAAUACCUGAUAGAAGCGUCAACCGCCUGGAGGGUGUUGUAAAGAUUGAGCGGUUUUGGGUGGACUCGCGGCCAAUCAGCUUGUUGGUGAGGGAAUGGCUAGCUAAGGCAAAGCCGGGUAGGCGGCCCGGGAGGGGGACCGGCGACAAGGGGACUGAGACACGGCGCAGACGGCUACGGGCGGCAGCAGGGGGGAGCAUUGCGGAGCGGGGGCGAGCCAGAUGCAGAGACGCCGGGUGAGGGAUGACGGGCUUCGGGUUGAAAACCUCUUUCUGUAUGGAAGAAGCGAAAGUGACGGUACCUGAAGAGGAAGCAACGGCUAACUACGUG